rnacentral:rRNA from 1 species
UACGUAGGGGGCGAGCGUUAUCCGGAAUUAUUGGGCGUAAAGGGCGCGUAGGCGGGUAUUUAAGUCAGGUGUGAAAACCCAGGGCUCAACCUUGGAUCUGCAUCUGAUACUGGGUAUCUUGAGGACAGGAGAGGAAAGUGGAAUUCCUAGUGUAGCGGUGAAAUGCGUAGAUAUUAGGAGGAACACCAGUGGCGAAGGCGACUUUCUGGACUGUAACUGACGCUGAGGCGCGAAAGCGUGGGGAGCAAACAGG